CAGGGAAUCUUCGGCAAUGGACGAAAGUCUGACCGAGCAACGCCGCGUGAGUGAAGAAGGUUUUCGGAUCGUAAAACUCUGUUGUUAGAGAAGAACAAGGACGUUAGUAACUGAACGUCCCCUGACGGUAUCUAACCAGAAAGCCACGGCUAACUACGUGCCAGCAGCCGCGGUAAUACGUAGGUGGCAAGCGUUGUCCGGAUUUAUUGGGCGUAAAGCGAGCGCAGGCGGUUUCUUCAGUCUGAUGUGAAAGCCCCCGGCUCAACCGGGGAGGGUCAUUGGAAACUGGGCGACUUGAGUGCAGAAGAGGAGAGUGGAAUUCCAUGUGUAGCGGUGAAAUGCGUAGUUAUAUGGAGGAACACCAGUGGCGAAGGCGGCUCUCUGGUCUGUAACUGACGCUGAGGCUCGAAAGCGUGGGGAGCAAACAGG
rnacentral:rRNA from 1 species